CAGCCGCCACGGGAAUACGAAGGGGGCUAGCGUUGUUCGGAAUUACUGGGCGUAAAGCGCACGUAGGCGGAUAUUUAAGUCAGGGGUGAAAUCCCAGAGCUCAACUCUGGAACUGCCUUUGAUACUGGGUAUCUUGAGUAUGGAAGAGGUGAGUGGAAUUCCGAGUGUAGAGGAGAAAUUCGUAGAUAUUCGCAGGAACACCAGUGGCGAAGGCGGCUUACUGGUCCAUUACUGACGCUGAGGUGCGAAAGCGUGGGGAGCAAACAGGAUUAGAUACCCCUGUAGUCCCUGUCUCUUAUAC
rnacentral:rRNA from 1 species